AACGAACGCUGGCGGCAUGCCUAACACAUGCAAGUCGAACGAGACCUUCGGGUCUAGUGGCGCACGUGUGCGUAACGCGUGGGAACCUGCCCUUAGGUUCGGAAUAACUCCCCGAAAGGGGUGCUAAUACCGGAUAAUGUCUUUGGACCAAAGAUUUAUCGCCUUUUGAUGGGCCCGCGUUGGAUUAGCUAGUUGGUAGGGUAAAAGCCUACCAAGGCGACGAUCCAUAGCUGGUCUGAGAGGAUGAUCAGCCACACUGGGACUGAGACACGGCCCAGACUCCUACGGGAGGGAGCAGUGGGGAAUAUUGGACAAUGGGCGAAAGCGUGAUCCAGCAAUGCCGCGUGAGUGAUGAAGGCCUUAGGGUUGUAAAGCUCUUUUACCCGGGAUGAUAAUGACAGUACCGGGAGAAUAAGCUCCGGCUAACUCCGUG
rnacentral:rRNA from 1 species